GCAAACGAGGGACUAGGUGCGCCAUAAGCCCAAAAAAAUUAAAUGGUCCACUCUCUUCGUAAUUAAAACCAAAAAAGUUGGCUGUUUGCCAUUAACACUAAAAUUAAAGAAACCCCCCCCCCCCCAUUUCUUUAAUCCCAUUCUGCCGAAUUCAAAAAAGAAAACCAAGGGGUUCGGCCCCCUUUCUCCUUUUGCUAGGGCGCAGCGCCCAUCAUCGCAGCGCUUUCCCUCCCCUGCGUGCUCAUCGGCGACCGUCGGAAACCAGGUAAGGCCCUCCUAAAAUCUUUUUAUUUUUUUAAACUCUGUUUUUCAAAAAUACAAGAUAGAUCCACAAAAAGCUCUAAAGAUUAAAAAACUAAAAGAAAAUAUUGUAACCACCUUAUUCUAUUUGAAUGUAUGAAAGCUUUUACUCAAAACUUGUUGUUUUCGUAUAUUUCUCUCUGAUUUUUGUAGUAAAAAAAAACCGAUCGCUUUACAUUGUUUAGAAUUGCUUUUAUAGCCUAGAAAAACAAAUAAAAUCUUCUAUUGGUUGCUAUCUGUUUGCUUCCUGUUACAGGUGUUGUUGCGGAUAUCUCGGAAGCACGAGGCGUGACAAAAAGGGACUGCUAGUAGCGCAUGUCUCGGAGGUGCGGUGGAUGGUGGAGUGGGAUGUUGGUGAGAGGCGUGCGGCGCGAAGGCUCAAGCAACAGCUUUAGGUUUCUGUUUGUUUGGGCCUUGUUUGGGUUUAUUUUUUGGGCCUGUGUUUUAGAUGUAAAUGGGUCUUGGGUUUUGGAGCUUUGGGCCCGGGCAUAAAUUUGGUCCUAUAGCUACCCCUCUUUGCUCAUUGUCGUGUAACGGGAAUAGAGAAAAGAUUUUAGAAGGGCCAAAUUUGACUGGGCUGGCUGAGUCUUGUCUUUUUUGCCGUAACCCACCGUACCUUAUUGCUUCAAAACGCUUCGUUGCUGCUUCACGGAGAUGUGAUCUGCUGUAAUUUGAUCUGCUUUACUCCUACUCAGUAAAGAUAAGAUCUAGUAUGUUUAGCCUGCUCCACUCCUGCUUAGUGAAGAUAAGGCUGGUGGCUGAAAUCUGCUCCAUUGCCGAUACAUGAAGAUAAGAUUCACCAAAAUUUGAUCUGCUCCGCUCCUGCUCAGCGAAGAUAAGAUCUAGUAUAUAGCCUACUCCACUCCUGCUCAGUGAAGAUAAGGCUGGUGGCUGAAAUCUGCUCCAUUGCCGAUACAUGGAGAUAAGACUUGCCAAAAUUUGAUCUGCUUCACUUCUGCUCAGUGAAGAUAAGAUUUGGUAUUUAGCUUGCUCCACUCCUGCUCAGUGAAGAUAAGGCUGGUGGCUGAAAUCUGCUCCAUUGCCGAUACAUGGAGAUAAGACUUGCCAAAAUUUGAUCUGCUUCACUUCUGCUCAGUGAAGAUAAGACUGAUGAUAUCUGUAAUCCUGCUACAUUGUCCUCUGGGGAAUCCAUCUGUAGAAGAGUGAUAUGCUUAUGCUAGAUGAUUAGGAUGUCAUGAUUAAUAUGAAUCAAAUGCUCCUAACUACAUGUAUUAUGGAUGUUAAAUGCACAAAAUGCAAAAUGUCAUGAGAAUGAUCCAUUUUAAUUUUUGGGCUAUCAUCGCUCGUUGUUUACUAAGGUAACAUCCCUGACAUAUGCCUUCUUGUUCAGCUUGGUAGAAGAGGACUUGGAGAUGCGGUUAAUUCCUUAUUUUCUCACACAUUUUAAGCUCGGUGACUUCUAAAUAAUUGUCCUGUUUCAGGUUCUCGUACUGUUUAGAAACCUUUCAGAGUAAUAUGCAAAACCUUCUUCUGAGAGCAUUAUUAGUUUAUUAAUCAUUAUUCAAUAAAAAUACUCGAAAAAGAUUAUAAUGAUAGGUAGAACUGAAAUUUAUUCGAGUCAAAAUUUACGAAAGAUGUAUCAACAAAGAAAGCAGACAUUGUUUGAGAUACAAAAAUGGAUGAAAAGGAAUAGAAUAGAUGCCCCAGAUUUCGCAGUUUGAGCUUCCCUGUACGAACUCCUCGGGGACCCUUUUAAACUUGGCACGCGCUCAAGGGAUCUAUAGCAUUUUGUUAAUGCCCCAAGAUGUAGCUUAUCUCUUCUUUGUCGAUUCAAGUGUAGUGAAACUGCCGCUUGCCCCAGUUUGGAUCGAAAUUUGAAUUGCCCUUUGCGGGUUUUCAACUUUGGUCUCAAGGUGCCCUUUUACGGGUUUUCACCUUGGCCUCUCCUUUUUUUUUGGCGCCCUUUACGGGUUUUCAUCUCAACUACUUCAAGCAAAAUAUCUUUUGACAGAAUCCGAAUUUAUCGGGUUAGGCAAGCUCUUGCCAUCCAUCUCUGCUAGUAUCAAUGCCCCUCCAGAGAAAGCCUUUUUUUACCACAUAGGGUCCUUCCCAAUUUGGCAUCCAUUUCCCCCUGAAAUCUUUUUGCACAGGGAGAAUCUUUUUCAAUACUAAGUCCCCCUCAUGGAACACCCUGGGGCGAACUUUUUUGUUGUAGGCUCGCAUCAUUCUCCUCUGGUACAUUUGACCAUGACGAAUAGCCUUCAGCCUCUUCUCUUCAAUCAAGUUUAGUUGAUCGUAACGAGAUUGGAUCCAUUCUGCUUCAUCUAACUUCAGCUCUGAUAAAACUCGGAGGGAAGGGAUUUCGACCUCAAUAGGUAAAACUGCCUCCAUCCCAUAAACCAAUGAGAAAGGUGUUGCCCCUGUAGAAGUUCUGACAGAUGUCCGAUAAGCAUAAAGGGCAAAUGGGAGCUUUUCAUACCAAUCUUUGUAGGUCUCCGCCAUCUUCCCCACAAUCUUCUUGAUAUUCUUAUUAGCUGCCUCAACCGCCCCAUUCAUUUUCGGGCGGUAUGGUGACGAGUUGUGAUGUUUAAUGUUGAACCGACUGUAGACUUCUGCUAUUACGCUAUUGUUCAGAUUCAAUGCAUUGUCAGAUACGAUUCUUUCUGGCAUACCAUAACGACAUAUGAUCUCCUUCUUCAAGAACUUGCUGACCGCCGACUUGCUGACAUUGGAGUACGAAGUAGCCUCUACCCAUUUGGUAAAGUAGUCAAUGACCACAAAAAUGAAUCGAUGUCCGUUGGAAGCCUUUGGUGAAAUCGGCCCAAUGACGUCCAUACCUCACAUUGAGAAUGGCCAUGGGGAAGUCAUAACAUGGAGGGAUGAAGGAGGCACAUGGAUCUUGUCUCCAUAAAUUUGACACUUAUGGCACUUCUUAGCGUAAUUGAUGCAAUCUCCUUCCAUUGUGGACUAGUAAUAUCCAAAUCUCAUGAUUUGUCGAACCAUUGUGAAACCAUUGGCAUGUGUCCCACAGACACCAUCAUGGACUUCCUCUAGAAUUUUCUUUGCCUCAACAGCGUCAACACAUCUUAGCAACACCUGAUCAUUUCUCUUCUUAUAUAAGACCUCAUCAUCUAGGACAUAGUCACUGGCUAACCUCCUCAAUGUUCUUUUAUCAUUUUCGGUUGCUUGAUCUGGGUACGCACGGCUCUUCACAUAUUGUAAGAUAUCAUGAUACCAAAGAUGAUCAUCUCUCUUCCUCUUCAUCGACAUUACAGCAGUGAGUUGGAGCCUCACAAAUACUCAUUUGAAUUGGCUUCAUAUCCUCCUGUUCACUUACUUUGAUCAUGGAAACUAGUGUAGCCAAGGUGUCAGCCAUCUGAUUCUCGUCUUGCGGGAGGUAAUGAAAGGUAAUAUCAUCAAAAUCUUCAAUUAACUCCAGGAUUAGCUUUCGAUAACUGAUCAAUUUAGGAUCUCUCGUUUCCCACUCGCCUUUAAGCUGAUAAAUUACCAAUGCAGAAUCUUCAUACACUUCGAAUACUUUGAUUUCACGGUCUAUAGCUGUCCAAAUUCCCAUGAUACAUGCCUCGUAUUCUGCCAUGUUGUUUGUGCAGUCAAAAUCCAGCUUGCAAGUGAAUGGAUAAUGAUCUCCAUUUGGGGAUAUCAGUACUGCUCUAACUCCAUUUCCAACGGCAUUUGAUGCUCCGUCAAAAUUUAAUUUUCAAGAAUGAUAGCGAUUGCUACAUACAUUAGAUCUUUAUUGGGGAAACUGAAAUUCAAAGGUUCAUAGUCCUCCAAAGCUCUACUGGCUAGGAAGUUUGCUAUUGCACUCCCUUUCACAGCUUUUUGGUUUACAUAGACUAUGUCAAAUUCGGAGAGCAGAAUCUGCCAUCGGGCCAUCCUUCCAUUUAAAGCGGUUAACUCCAUCAUGUAUUUGAGAGGGUCUAACUUUGAGAUUAGCCAAGUUGUAUGGUACAACAUGUAUUGCCUCAACCUUCGUGUUGUCCAAACCAAAGCACAACAUAACUUCUCAAUUGGCGGAUACCGCAUUUCACACUCAGUGAAUUUUUUACUGAGGUAAUAUAUCGCUCUUUCUUUUCUCCCAGUCUCAUCGUGUUGGCCGAGCACACACCCCAUCGAAUUAUCAAAUAUUGUUAAAUAUAGUAUCAAUGGUCUAUCAGGGCUUGGUGGUGUUAGCACUGGGGGACUGGACAAAUAUGGGGUCACACUUCUCAGUCAGUUGCGAAAUAAACCGUGCAAUAUAGUUUAGUCUCCCUAGGAAACCUCAAACUUCUUUCUGAGUUCGUGGCGGAGGCAGCUCCUGUAUAGCCUUAACUUUAUCAGGGUCGACUUCUAUUCCCUUCUCACUAACUACGAAACCGAGUAACUUUCUGGACCUAGCUCCGAAGGUACAUUUUGACGGAUUGAGUUUUAAUUGGAAUUUUCUCAACCUCAGGAAUAAUUUCCUCAACACUCGCACAUGCUCCUCUUCAGUUCGGGAUUUUACAAUCAUGUCGUCAACGUAGACCUCAAUUUCCUUGUGCAUCAUGUCAUGGAAUAAGGUUACCAUGACUCUUUGGUAUGUGGCUCCUACAUUUUUCAACCCGAAGGGCAUCACCUUGUAGCAAAACGUUCCCCAUAAAGUUAUGAAUGUGGUUUUUUCCAUGUUCUCAAGAUGCAUCUUGAUCUGAUUGUACCCGGAGAACCCAUCAAUGAAGAAGAACAGUGAAUAGCCUAUCGUAUUAUCCACUAGAGUGUCUAUGUAAGGCAAUGGAAAGUUAUCCUUUGGGCUGGCCUUGUUUAAAUCUCUGUAAUUUACACACAUCCGCACUUUCCCAUCUUUCUUAGGGACAAGGACAAUGUUGGCCACCCAUUCUGAAUAAUUGACCACCUGUAGGAAUCCAGCAUUACACUGUUUCUUGACUUCUUCCUUUAUUUUCAUUGCUACAUCGUGUCUCAUCCUUCGGAGCUUCUGCUGAACUGGCUUGCACACCUUUUUUGUAGGGACACAGUGCACUACGAUGUCGGUACUUAGACCAGGCAUAUCCUGGUAUGACCAUGCAAAGACGCCCUUAAAUUCUUGCAACAGCUCAAUGAGGUUCUGUCUUGUUUUCUCGUUAACGCAAAUGCCGAUUUUAACUUCCUUCCCCUCUUCCAAGGCCAUAAUCUCAGUAGUCUCUUUGUGUGACAGGAUCUAUUUCUCUUCUCGCUCCACCAUCCUUAACAAAUAGGGAGAUAAACAACAAUCCUCGUCCUCUUCAAAAUCCUGAAAUCCCUCAAAGUACAUGUCUCGCUCAAAAGGAGAUUUCAGGCUCGCAUUAGCAUUACUCAUGACGUUGACAUCCGGGGGCCUAUUAUGAGUAUAAGAGAAUACCCAAAGAAAAUGAAAUAAAUAAUUCCUUUGUAUGGUAUGAUUGUGUAUAAAAAUAAAAAGAAGAAAGAAUAAUUGCUCGAACCGAUAUAUGAAAAUGUAUUUUUUUAUUGAAAAUAAUAAUGUUUGAACAUGAGCCUAUUUCGUAAAAGAUUCUUAUUGUCCCUAGGCUGGAAGACAACAAGUGGGUUUUGAAUAUUACUCUGUGUUAGCUCUAAAGAUUACAGAAAUUUCUUCCUCAGUCCAGUUAUUUAAAACACUCCCAAGCUCAUAUGGGAAAAUGCCCGAUAAAUUCCUUUCCAUUGCUUCCUCUUCAAACGUGGCGUUGAUGUUCCAAAUUCUCAUCACAUCCUCGACCAUUCCUUCUUUUAUCCUCUCCUGUACAGAAUGAAUAAACCCUCCAGAUACAAAUGUUUGGGAAAUAUGGGGGAAGCUCAUCGGUUCCCACCUGACUUCUGUCCCACUCAAUCUCGCUCUCCGCUGUUCUUGUUUCCUUUCAAACUCCUUCUUCACUUGGCUUGCAUCUGGCCUGUAUCUCAAACUGAAGCGAUCCCACUUGCUAACCAAGACUGGCACUCUAACUUAUCCACGGAGGUGCCUCCCGAGUCCUCUGCCAGGUAACGACCAUUUCCUAACUGUCAGCUGUAGGCUCAUUUUUGUAGCCCCUGAUAUCUUAAGUAUCGGAAUCCUACUUCCUUCAGCUAUAAACGUUGUGUUUACAAACUCUAACGAUCGAAAUGAACAUUUAACCGCUUUGUUGUCAUUCUCUACGUAGGGUGCAUCACUGGUAACUGACGCAAUAAUGUCCUCAUCUGCAUUUAUUAUUAUUAGCCGACCCUCAAUAACCAUCUUUAGCUUCUGGUGCAGCGAGGAUGGCACUACCCCAGCUGAGUGAAUCCAAGGUCUUCCUAAUAGACAGUUAUAGGAAGGCUUAAUAUCCAUCACGAGGAAAUCUACCUCGUACGCGUUUGGGCCAAUCUGAAGAGGUACCUCUAUCCUUCCCAUUACUUUUCUUUCUGUGCCAUCAAAUGCUCUUACUAUGUUCUGACAUGUCUUCAUAUGGGAACUGUCUAUAGUUAAACGGUUUAACAUAGCCCAAGGCAACACAUUCAAUGCAGACCUAUUAUCAACUAGUACUCCGGGUAGCGUAUACCCCUUGCAACGUGUAGUGAUAUGCAGAGCCUUAGUAGACCCCCUACCCCCUGGCGGUAUCUCAUCAUCGCUGAAGGAGAUGAAAUUGUCAGCACUUAUGUUGCCGACAAGACGAUCCAAUUUGUUAAUCGAAAUGUCAUCCGCAACAUAGGUUUCAUUCAACACUUUCAUCAAUGCGUUGCGGUAGACCUCUGAAUUUAACAGCAGAGCUAAUACCGAUAUGCGAUCCGGUUGUUGGUGUAGUUGUUCCACAACACUAUACUCUAUAUGUCUUAGGAACUUCAAGAACUCAUUGGCUUCAUUUUCCAUUACUGGCUCAUUAACCAGUGGUUCUGAUAUCUCUACUUCUUGCUUGAGCAUGACGGAUUUCCCUUUUGCUGGUUUGGCUUCUGUGUUUGGCGUGUUAAUCGAACCCUCAUUCUCUGUAACUGCUAUACUACAAUUAUAAUUCCAAGGCACCCUAUGGCUAUCUUUAUAAGGGGAAGUUGUUGGCCUUUGGAUUAUAACUCUUGGUGUAACUCUUGCUUCUACUUCACUAAUUCUGGGCUUCGAAAUAAUUAUCACUGGACGGCUGGCUCUGUAGGCUUCUUCACCUGACUCUCCUCCUAGAGAGCAUACAUCCUCCUCUUCGACAGACUCGAGAAACUCCAAUUCCUUAUUAUCCAUUAGACCCUGCACUAGGGCCUUGAACUCAAUACAAUUUUGGAUCUCGUGAUCUUUCUCAUGAUGGAACUCACAGUAGUUCCGUAUAUCUUGGAUUUUAUCCCCCAACCCCUGCGGAACUAAACCUCUCUUCUGCAUUUCCUUCCAAACUAGCUUCAAUGGGGUUCUCACCUCUGCGAUAUUCAGCUUGACUUUCCUCCCCAUAUUCUCAAUUAUAGCGUUUAUCCCUUUAUCAGUAUGACUGGGCAAUGGAUUUCUCGUACCAGAUGUAUCAUCAAAUUUUACAACACCUACUUUGAUAAGCCUUUCUACGUACCUUUUGAACGAGGUACAAUUUUCUAUCGAGUGCCCCGUAAUCCCUGCGUGGUAUUCGCACUGAGCAUUUGUAUCAUACCAUUUAGGGUAUGGGGGUUGUAACGGUUCUAAUUGGAAAGGGGCCACUACGUGUGCGUCGAACAACUUUUUGUAUAGCUCCCUCUACGUCACUGGUAUAGGAGUAAACUGGAACCUCUUUGUAUUCUGCCUUGUGUUAGGCUCUCGCCUUUGGUAUGGCCUGCUGGCUUGUGACUAUCGUUCUCGAUUGAUUAACGGUGACAGGUUUUGAAUAGCCUGAGCUUACGUUGCUUACCUCGUUUUCCUUUUUCUUCAGGGCUGACCUUCUCGUGCUUUCCCCCGUUUCUAUCUUCCCGCACCUUAUUGCAUUUUCUAUCAUUUCGCCAGACAUCACUAUAUUUGCGAAACUCUUAGUUGCGCUCCCCAACAUAUGAUUAAUGAAAGGUUCCUUCAAGGUAUUAAUAAACAUCAUAGUCGUUUCUUUUUCCAGCAGUGGUGGUUGGACUUGCGUAGCGACUUCCCUCCACCUCUGGGCGUAUUUCCUGAAGCUUUCACCUGACCUUUUCUCCAUGUUCUGUAAUGUAAUCUUGUCAGGUGCUAUAUCAGUCACAUGGCCAUACUGUUUCAUGAAGGCUUGCGCCAAAUCCUUCCAUGAUUUGACCUGAGCACGGCUCAACUAAUUGUACCAUUUUGCUGCGGCCCCGGUCAAACUAUCCUGAAAACAAUAAAUCAGCAAAUGGUCAUUGUUGACAUAUCCCGUCAUUCUCCGGUAGAACAUCGUAAUGUGAGCCUCAGGGCAACUGGUUCCAUUAUAUCUUUCAAAUUCUGGCAUCUUGAACUUCGGCGGAAGUACUAAGUCCGGGACCAAACUGAGUUCCUUUGCGUCAACUCUGCAAUAAUGAUUAGCACUUUCUAGCUCCUUGAACUUCUCCUCUAUCCAUUUGUACCGAUCCUCGAACUGCUUUGGGAGCUCCUCCCUUACUUUUUCCCCUUCAACCUCAUCGAAGUCAGGGAUCGUGGGAUUUGCCAUAUUGUCUCCAGGGUUAGAGCACGAGCCCGUUGAGAAGUUUACCGGUGCCGAAGUGCCAGCUUGAUACAGAGGUUUAACAUUAAACGAACACCCUUGGUGGAUAUGUUUGAAUGUUUACUGGGGCGAAGCUUGUAGGACAAGUAGAGUCAUCGUUGUCAUUCCCAGUAUCACCCUAGGGCUUUUUCCUUUGUCAGACCCUCCCUUCAGCAGCUGUGUCAGCUGGCUCAUUAUGUUGUUCUGUGACUCCAGCAUGUUUUUCUGGAACUCCAGCAUUUGAUCCCUCAUCUCCUGCUGGAUUCUAGCCAGCUGUUCUUGCAUCUGAGCUUGCAGUUGCUCCUGCAUCUCCUUUUGCAUUUGUUCUAAUUUCUCCAACCUCUGAUCCAUAUCCCUUGUUUUCCUCCGUGUAUAGUAGCGAUGUUCCAGGGUAACUAGAUAAAUUAUCACUAAUUAAUAGGGUUCUUUUGUGUAACUUAAUGUUUAUGAUGCUAUGCAAUGCAAAUGCAUGACAUGAAUACAAAAAGGUGUCAAUCUGAUUCAAUUUUAUUUAGAAUAACUUUACUAAAAGACAAAAUCCUUUACAUAAAAAAUAGACUACAUAUACGGCCUAGCCCUUAUGCCCAGAGCUCUAACUUUUUUAAGAGGUUCAGCCAGCUCUUGGCCUCGGUUCGAUACUGACUCAUAUUUUACACUUAAUACAUCAGCUUGGACGGCCAGGAUUUGUAAAUGUUCUGCCACUUCUCGAAUCUGAACUAUAGCUUCUCCCAUGAGGUGAUCUCUAUCUCGAACCUUAUUCUGAGACCGGUGAAGUUGCUCCUCCAGUUGCUCACUAUUUGCUUCCAGUGAUUCAAUUCGGUGUUCACAAUCCUGUAGCAUAGCCCCAAGUUCUUCUAUCUUCCCCUUCAGAUUCUCGAUCUCACUUAAGCUAGCCUUUAAUUCCAUUACAAAGUUGUGACUACGAUGCUAAUGCAAUGUCUUUUCUAACUCUGUUAUUCGAGCUCUUAACGUCUCAUUUUCACUUUGGCUCUCUGAUGCAGUUCUUUUCAGGGCUUCCUCUCGUGCUCGAGCAUCACAGAACCUCCUCUUCCAUUGAUCGGCCUUAGACUUUUCUUCUUGGAUUUCAUGUUGCCAUUGCUUCGAUGUUUUUCCCAACUCGGUAGUUCUCAUCGACAUAUGCAGCUCCUUGUAAUCAUUCUUCAAACUGUCCAAGUCUUCUUCAGCUUUCCUUUUCCCCUUUCUUAGUUUCUCGGCGUCUAAUUUCUGGACGCCAAUGUCCAAUUUUAGAUAUACCUUCUCCUCUUCGAGUUGCUCUAUAUUUUUCCCCAACUCUGAACUUCUCUUCUCAAAAUCCUGUUUUAUAAUUUCCAAUUCGGAGGGAACCACUCGCAGAUACUUCUCUAUCGGUUGAGCACCCUCUAAACUUGACCUAGGGAUAUUGUCGUUAACUCGUCUACUCAACCAUCCAUCAUACUUAGGGGUCGUCAUCGGAUCUGCAGUCAACCCUUUCACUCGACGAGUCUGAUUCCAAGCAUUAGAAAUCUCUUUAACCCUUUUCUUGUAGUCUCCCUUAUACGAAAAUUUGCAUUGAGCAAGCCCAUGGGUUACCGGUAUGAACUGUCUUGCUGCAUAUUGCCUAAGCACAAGUAAGGGAGCAUAUCCAAUGGCUCCCCAGAUCCCAAGCAAAGGGACCCAAUCGAAACUCCCACAUCGAAAAAGAAUUUUGUUAGGCAUCCACCAAGGUACUUUCCACUCAAUGUCCUCUCCCUGGAGAUUCUGUAGGAGCGCGAUCCAGUUUUCUUCCGAUAUGUCAUCUCUUCUGGGUGUAGCUCCUAUCUCCUUUAAUGGAGAAUGAUUCCCAAAGAAAGUUCGAUAAUGACCUUUGUCUAUCUUCCAAAAAUGACUGUGAAACCAUACUAACAAUAACUGUGCACACCCUAUAAAUCUGCCCUCUCUGGUCCUUCUACACACGUUCAAGGACCUGAAUGUCUCAGUUAAAAUUGCAGGAACUGGUGUGACUCCCUUGUCAAGUCGGUCGAAUAGAUCCGUGACUGCCUCAUCAACAUAUCCCAAUGCCCUAAGGAAGAGCAUCAACCCGUAGAUACUCAAGGCAAAGACGUCAACUUUCUUCUUCAUAGCAGGAUGUGUUCAGAUCAAAUCUCGUAAAUUCUUCCAUGGAAUGCACUUACACUCCCCUUUCUGCUUGAUCCUUGCCGUAACCCAUUGUUCGCUUAUUCCAGUAAUAUUCAUUAGCUUUUUCGAAAACGCCGAAACAUAAGUAGCUCUCGAAUAGGCCUAAUCGACUUGUACCUUCGAACAAUUUAAUAAAGUUGUAUACUCCUCCACCGUAGGUACUAAAUCCACCCUCCUAAACGUGAAGCAGCUAUAUGCAGGGUUCCAAUACUGAGCAAGGGCCCGAAACAAGUGUUCGUCUAUUUCGAUAUUAAGUAGGUAUGGUAGAUCUCCAUAGUUACAGUAGAAUAAUUUUUUAGCCUCAUCAUCCCACUGAUUCCAUAUCUCCUUCAAUUCCUGAUGAUUAUUUUGAGUCACGCUAAUGCGAGUAUAAUCCCAUAACUCAGAUUUUUAUCCCUUGGCUAGGUUGUCUCCCUUCUCUAAUUGUGUUAUCUCUAACCAUUUACGGACAGCCGCAUUAUUUUCUACCUUAUCAAGGAAUUUGUCCCCCAUGACAAGCUUUCUAAUUUAGAAAAUUAAACACAAAUUGACAUAUUUCAAAUGUGGAAUGACAUGCAAAUAUGGCAAAACAAAACACAGCAAGUUAGUAUCAUAUAUCAGAAACAUAACUCAAAGUAAAAAAAAUAGAAACAAGCACCUAUUGGGGGUAAUCACUAGGGUUUAGCGUAGUUCCUCCCAAGAUGGGCCCUUAGGGUUCCUCUAAAUGUGGUUUGGUUCUAGAGUUGAGGUACUUGAACCAGCAGAUUCCUCGAUCCUCACCCAUUAUAGGCUCAUAUAGACCGAGUUCAGUUCAGGGGGAUACAUUUCCCUAUGGCUGCAAGGAGGUGAAAACCUCACGAAGACAUAGGUACGGAUGUAUCCCGAAAGUGAUCCACUAUCCUGCACGGAGGUGAAAACCUCACGAAGGAAAUAGCUUCUCACUCCCACUUAAGAGGUGUGACCACAAUUGUCAUGCAAUGCCAUGACAGAAGAUAUAAAAGAACUUUGAAAAAAAUGCCGGAAAAACAUAACACCAAACAGAUGAAAUGCAAUAAGAGGAUCGUAGACUCCAAACCAAAUUUAACUUUCAAAAAAAGAUAAAAAGUAAUCAAAUCGCGACUUAACUCUCUUAUAGGCCCCCAAUGGAGUCGCCAAGCUAUCGAAACCAUUUUUAAAUUUUGAAAAACGGGGAUCGACUUUAAAAAUAUGAAUAGAGUCGCCACCAAUCCUUUUUGAGGUGUGAUUGGGCGACCCUAGAAUUGAUCGUUUUAAUAAAACAUUUGGGCUUAUUAAAAUAAUAAUUUUUGGUCUGCUAAAUUUGAGAAAACGGGCUCGGGAGUCGGUUACAUACGAGGAAGGGUUAGCACCCUCGCAACGCUCAAAAAUUGGUACCUUAUUUGAUUAGUUAAUAUCUUGAUGUCGAAACUUAAAAAGAUUUUAGAGUACGAUCUUCUUACUUAAAAAAAAUAUAAAUUGGAUAAAAUGUAAAGACCCACUCAUUUCGAAGGAGAAAUAGGCCAUACCCAGUAAGUUAGGGUCUAACACCUCAGACCUUCUGAACUAAGUUAGUCUUUGAUUUUUUUAAAAUUCAUGUAUGAAGGUUCAAGAGAAGGGUAUUUGGUCAUUCGGGACUCAACUGAAAAAUUCGAACUCAAUAAGUUAGAGCUCGAUCUUUCAAAACCCCCAAGUGCCAGGUAUUGCCUUGAUUUUAGAAAUCCCUAUCCUCAAAACCACAAUGCCACACCCAGUAAGUUAGGGUGCAACAUCCUAAAUUCCAAGAAUAGUUUUUUAUUCGAACUUCAUACAAUUAGAUUUAAAAAGGGUACUCAGUUAUUUAGGUUUAACGAGGAAAAUUGGAACCUAGUAAGUUAGGGCACAAUCUUCCCCAGGAUCUUAAAUAUCGAACAUUGCCUUUAUUUUGAAAAUAGUCGAUGAUAAAUCUUUAAAUAAAAUGAAUUUGGGCGGUUGAAACUUAACAAAAAAAAUGACAACAUGCAAUAUGAAAACAGCAAUAUAAUAACCCUAAUAACAUAUAUUAAUACCUAAAAUGUAGCAAGCAUAAAGAAAAUUAAGAACAGUAGUAAUAACAGAAGUGAUGAAUAUAAUAACAUGAUAAAUACAGCAAUGAUUAAAAAAAUGCACAAUGGAAAGGAAGAUAAUAAGCCAAUGAUGAUGUUUGAUAAACAUGUCAAAUUGCAUAUUUUUUGUGCCUAAUUUGGUUUAUUGAUGAACUGAAUCCUGCUAAUUAAGUGUUUUUAUUAUUUAAUUCUUUUCAGGGAUGCAAUUGAUCAAAAGCAAGCUGAAAAGGGGCCAAAUUAGAAGAAAAUUAUUAGAAUAGGCCAAAGCGAAAAGAUGGAGCAAGCCAAGGACUAGUCAUAAAUUUGACUUUGUAAAAAGCCAAAAAUAGGAAAUUCUAUUUUAAGUUUAUUUAUUUUUAAUUAUUAUUAUUUUAGAUUUUAUAUUAAUUUUCUUAAGCUAUUUUUAGUAAACCCUAUCUAUAUAAAUAGGGGGUUUUAGUUCUUAGGAAAUCAUCCAUUAAUCAAUUGUCUUUACAUUCCUAUUUCAUUUUGGAGUUCCAUUAUCCACUUUGUUUUCUUUUUCUUAAUUCAAUUGAGCAUUAGAUUAUUUUGUCUUCUUUUUACAAAAUUUGUCUAAUUCUCUUUGCAAUUUUUCCUAUCCAUUUCCACUACCUUUUUCAUAUAAUUUCUAUCAUUUCCAUAACCUUCAAGCAUGAUUAAAUUCAUGCCACACUAAACCCCUUUCAGCUUUAAGCCGGUGUUAACCCCGUCAAAAUACCUGUGAGUUACGAACCCGAGCUGUUUAACUCCCAACUUUCGAUAUUUAUUAUUUCUCCGGAUUAAGAGUAUGACUUUGUCAACUCACAAAGUCAAGUCAAUACUAAGUCAAAAAAGACGUCGUUUGAGUUAGUGUGGCUAGACGUACAGUUGGAAUUCCGAAAGGAUCGAUUGUCUAAUUGGUCUUCCGUGAACAUAUUGGCGUGCCAAGUGGGGAUUGCUGUUUGGUUCCGUCAAGGGAAGUAGUAACUGGAUUUAAAUGUCUCAAUGUUUGAGGGCAUUGGUUCGAGCUAGGCUCUUCUAGAACGCAAAACUGCUGGAGUUCUAAAUCACGAAUGUUUCGUAGGUUGUUCGAUCGGUAAGGGUUAGUUAUAGGACGUUCCAUAACUAAUUUACACAAGGAAGAGUUGGUGUCCGAGGCUUCCUUUGUAGCUAUAACUAGCUUAUCGAAAAAGAGGAGUUCACCUAAUUUCGAGGAACGGGUCGAAGACGGGAAAACCCGUGCUUAAGGCUGAGCUAAGUUUUAUUGAUUUUCCGUUAAAUUAUUUUGUUAUUUUAUUUUUAUUUCAUCUUUUUAUUUUUGUUUCAUCUUUUACUUUUUACUUUUUACGUUUUCUUGUGUUUAUUUCAGGUUUCAUAUUUUAUUUCCCCCCUAAAUGUCGCGGGCACGACAACUGCCCAGACACUAAUCUGGUCAAGAAACAAACAAUUUUAAGUAAUUCCAGUCUCUGUGGGAUCGACCCUACUCCCUAUACUGCUUUAAUUUGCAAACUAGGUGUAGGUUUAUAUUGGUGGAAUCGACAGCCAUCAGUUUUGGGGCCGUUGCCGGGGACUGGCAACACUUACAAUUGUUUAAAUUACCUUCAUGACCAGAUCUUCAUCAGGAGAUCUCGAAUACGACCCAUAGAUCGAGAAAUCAGUGCGAGCACGACGAAAAGAGAUAGAAGCUCUUAAACGUGCAAGUAAAACAGAAGUUGAGCUAGGACAAGGAAUCCUAGAAUCCGACGUUGAAAAGUUGAGCGAAACAAUUCGUGCAGAGGCAAUUCGACGUGGGAAACAAGUCGAAGAGGUUGAACCUGAGACCGAACCACUCUUUGAAACAAAAAACAACCUCGGUAAACUAGAAAGAAUGGUAAACCGAACCAUUCGUCAACUAGCCGCUGCUCCCAACGAGCAAACACCAUUAUGCAUUAACUAUCCAACCGGAGGAACUCCUUUCGAAUUGAAGUCGGGCUUGAUUCACCUUUUGCCCACUUUUCGAAGCUUGAAGAACAAAAAUCCACACACUCACUUAAGAGAAUUCCACAUGUUCUGCUCAAGCAUGAAACCCCAGGGAGUACCCGAAGAUGAGAUCAAACUUCGGGCCUUUCCUUUUUCUUUAGUGGAUACAGCAAAAGAAUGGUUAUUUUACUUACCUCCCGGUUCUAUCACAACGUGGGAUGACUUAUCUCGUGUAUUUCUUGAUAGGUUCUUCCCAGUGUCACGAGCAGCCGAGCUUAGGAGGGAAAUAGUGGGAAUUCGCCAAUUAGAGAGUGAAUCGCUCUAUGACUACUGGGUGCGGUACAAAAAACUGUGUGCGAGUUGUCCUCAACAUGGAUUGACCGAACAAUCACUUCUUCAAUAUUUCUACGAGGGUUUGCUCCCUAUGGAAAUAAAGAUGAUCGACGCUGCUAGCGGAGGAGCGCUUGUCAAUAUGACCCCUCAAAGGGCAAAAGAGCUAAUAUCCACCAUGGCGAAAAAUUCUCAACAAUAUCGGCCUAAUUCAGAACCGACAAGAUGGGUUAAUGGGGUAAACGUUUCAACUUUAGAAGAUAAAUUAGAUAAGCUUACGAAUGUUGUUCAAUCAUUUCUUACAGAAAAGAAGAGUUUGACCCCAUUAUGUGGAAUUUGUACUACGUUUGAACACCCGACGGAUUUGUGCCCAAUCCUUAACGAUAAUUCAACGGCACAUGUAGAUGCUAUCGGAGGUUUUCCGGGACCUCCGCAAAGACACUAUGAUCCUUUCUCCAACACCUACAAUCUCAGGUGGAAGGAUCAUCCAACCUUAAUUACGGAGCUAAUCCCCGAUAUAAUCCACCAUACCAACCGAGACCUCUGUAACCACCACAACAACAUAAGCCGAGCACAUCUCUAGAAGCUGUUGAGGAAAGACUUGCCGCCGAUGCUGCAAAAUAUCAACAGAGGACAGACGCAUCAAUACAAGAGUUAACUAAUCAAGUUAGUAAACUCUCGAUGGCAGUUAAUCGCUUAGAGUCUCAAGGUAAAUUACCUUCCUAGACAGAGCCGAACCCUUGGCAGAAUGCCAGUGCAAUCACUCUUCGUAGCGGAAAGGUUCUGAAAACAGUACCAACUAAAAGUCAUUGGCAAGAAAAGGAACAGGAAAAGCAGAUCUCCGAUCCAACAACCAGGCUAGAGUCAGAAAUUCAGAGACCAGUUGUAAUGCCACCUCCUUUUCCAGUGAGGCUUGCAAGGGAUAAGAAAGAGAAGGAGGAAAAAGAAAUCCUCGAGACAUUCAGGAAGGUGGAGGUAAAUAUUCAUUUACUCGACGCUAUCAAACAGAUCCCCCGUUAUGCAAAAUUUCUCAAGGAAUUGUGUACUAGCAAAAGGAGGUUAAUAGGUAACGAAAGAGUAAAUAUAGGAGAAAAUGUCUCCGCAGUACUGCAAAAGAAAGUUUCGCCCAAAUACAAGGACCAAGGUAUGUUUGCUAUUUCCUGUGAGAUAGGUAAUGUAGGCAUUAAGAAAGCCAUGUGUGAUUUAGGGGCUUCUAUUAAUGUUAUGCCUUAUUCUAUUUAUAAGUUGAUUAACGCGGGUCCUUUAAAAGAGACAGGAGUAAUAAUCCAGUUGGCGGACAGGUCAGUCAUCUAUCCCGAAGGGCUGCUUGAAGACGUCCUUGUUAAAGUUAACGAAUUAUUUUUCCCUGCAGAUUUCUACAUUAUUAGUAUGGAAGAUGAUAAUUCAACUAAUUCGUCUGACAUUUUGCUUGGAAGGCCGUUUCUAAGUACCGCAAGCGCAAAAAUAGAUGUUCGAAGUGGGACGCUGACCAUGGAGUUUGAUGGCGAAAUUGUGAAAUUCAAUGUCUACGAGGCUAUGGGUCAUCCUAACUCACUAUUGAAUAUUUCUAGCAUUGAUAUUUUAGAUUGUUUAACUCAAUCUUAUUCUGAAUAUCAUGACUUUGAUGAGUUGGAAACUGUCCUUUUCAGAAACAUUGACAUGGAAAUUUUACAUCAUCUCGAGGAAUUCGCAGUCAUUGAAGAUCCGUUGCAAGAAAUCGUCAAUCACUUGGAUAUGCAACCUUCGUUGACAAACCGAGGUAACCAAAUUGAACUAUUACCUUCCCAAACUAAAAUGUUACCCUUAGUUUUACAGCCACCGAUCUUGGAGCUUAAAGCAUUACCGGACCAUCUUAAGUACGUCUUUUUGGGAGAGAAAGACACAUUACCGGUAAUAGUGUCAAACAAGUUAACCAAAGACGAGGAGGAAAGUCUAGUUCGAGUUCUGAGAGAUUAUAAGGAAGCUAUUGGUUGGACGAUAGCCGACAUAAAAGGGCUAAGUCCAUCCACCUGUAUGCACAAAAUUUCCAUUGAAGACAACACGAAACCAAAGAGGGAUGCUCAACGACGCCUUAAUCCACCCAUGAUGGAGGUAGUAAAGAAGGAGAUCCAAAAACUGUUUGAUGCUAAAAUGAUAUAUCCGAUUUCUGACAGUAAUUGGGUUAGCCCAGUUCAUGUCGUGCCCAAGAAAACUGGUGUGACAGUGGUGAAAAACCAGUUAGGUGAGCUGGUCCCUACACGAGUAUAGAAUGGAUGGAGGGUUUGCAUCGAUUACAGGAAGUUGAAUGCAGCUACCCGAAAAGACCAUUUUCCACUCCCCUUCAUCGAUCAAAUGCUCGAGCGAUUAGCCAGUAAGUCCCAUUAUUGUUGUCUCGAUGGGUACUCAGGAUUUUUCCAGAUUCCAGUGGCUCCGGAGGAUCAAGACAAAACGACUUUCACAUGUCCCUUCGGAACAUUUGUGUAUAAACGGAUGCCGUUUGGACUCUGCAAUACUCCGGCCACUUUCCAAAGAUGCAUGGUGAGCAUAUUCUUUGAUUACGUCGAGAAAAUCAUCGAAGUCUUUAUGUAUGACUUCACGGUAUACGGUAACUCUUUUAACGAAUGUCUCAAUAAUCUUGCUAAGAUAUUACAAAGAUGCCUAGAAUUUAAUCUUGUUUUAAAUUAUGAGAAAUGCCAUUUCAUGGUUGACAAAGGAUUAAUUUUGGGUCAUAUAGUUUCCUCAAAAGGAAUCAAGGUCGAUAAGGCAAAAACGGAUAUUAUUAACUCGUUACCUUACCCCUCAUCAGUGAGGGAAGUUUGUCCGUUUCUUGGCCAUGCAGGAUUCUAUAGACGAUUCAUGAAAGAUUUUUCGAAAAUCGCGCGACCACUUUGUAGUCUGUUACAAAAGGAUAAAGAAUUUGAAUUUGACCAGACUUGUAAGGAUGCGUCUGAUGUGCUGAAGCAGAAAUUGGUUUCCGUUCCCAUUGUGCAGCCACCAAAUUGGAACUUCCCAUUCGAAAUCAUGUGUGAUGCAAGUGACCAAAGUGUGGGAGCUGUUCUUGGCCAAAGAAUAGGGAAAGAACCUCAUGUCAUCUACUAUGCUUCGAAGAUUUUGGAUGCUGCCCAAAGCAAUUACACAACGACCGAGAAAGAAUUAUUAGCUGUUGUGUUUGCUUUGGAUAAAUUCAGAUCUUACCUAUUGGGAACUAAGGUAAUUAUCUUUUCUGAUCAUGCAGCUUUGAAAUAUUUAAUAGGGAAAAAGGAGGCAAAACCCCGACUGAUCAGGUGGAUUCUACUCCUACAAGAGUUCGAUUUUGAAAUUCGGGAUAAAAAUGGAUGCAAAAACCUAGUAGCUGACCAUCUAAGUCGAUUACCGAUUCCAGUAGAUGACACACCAUUGAAGGACAACUUUCUAGAUGAAAACCUGUUUUCAGCAAAUGCAGUGCACCCUUGGUAUGCAGACAUAGUAAACUAUCUUGUCACAUGUACUGUCCCUUCAGAUUUGCCAAGGUCUAAAAAAGAUAAGAUAAGAAAGGAUGCACGAUAUUACAUUUGGGACGACCCUUACCUUUGGAAGCAUUGCUCGGAUCAGGUAAUACGACGUUGUGUAGCAGAAACAGAGGUACAGUCUAUCUUAACUUUUUGUCAUUCUUAUGCAUGCGGAGGACACUUUGGACCUAAACGCACCGCACACAAAAUUCUCGAAUGUGGAUUAUUUUGGCCAAACAUAUUUCGUGAUGCCUUUUAUCUCUGUAAAACUUGUGAAAAAUGCCAAAGAGUUGGCAACCUUAGUCGUCGAAAUGAGAUGCCGCUUACUCCUAUUCAUAUUUGUGAAAUUUUUUAUGUGUGGGGCAUCGACUUUAUGGGUCCUUUCGUUUCUUCUUUCGGUAAUUUUUAUAUACUUUUAGUUGUUGAUUAUGUCUCUAAGUGGAUAGAGGCAAAGGCCACUCGAAAUGAUAAUGCUAAGACCGUAGUUGACUUUCUUAAAAAUUCUAUUUUUUCCAGGUAUGGUACUCCACGAGCAUUAAUCAGUGACAGAGGAACACAUUUUUGCAAUAAGCUCAUAAGUGCACUUAUGGAGAAAUAUGGAGUGACUCAACGAAUUGCCACAGCUUACCAUCCACAAACAAAUGGGCAAGCUAAAGUGUCAAAUCGAGAGAUCAUGUCUAUUUUGGAAAAGACGGUUAAACCUAACAGGAAGGAUUGAAGUUUAAGACUGAAUGACGCACUUUGGGCCCAUAGAACAACUUACAAGGGACCAAUAGGCAUGUCACCUUACCGACUCAUUUUCGGUAAACCAUGCCACCUCCCGAUCGAGUUAGAGCAUAAGGCUUUUUGGGCAGUUAAGCAAUGCAAUAUGAAAAUGGAGUCUGCGGGAAAAUCUCGAAAAUUAGACAUCCAGGAACUCGAGGAAAUCAGAAACGAUGCAUAUGAAAAUGCUCGAGUUUAUAAAGAAAAGACGAAGGCAUUUCAUGACAAGUUCAUCACUAGGAAGCAGUUCUCAAUAGGACAAAAAGUGCUCCUAUACGACUCCACUUUAAAAAUCUUUGCUGGUAAGCUUCGAUCCAAAUGGAUAGGACUGUUUAUUAUUACUAAUUUAUUUGCGAAUGGUGCAAUGGAAAUUCAAAGUGAAGAGAUACGAAAGCACUUUAAAGUGAAUGGUCAAUGACUAAAAUCCUUUUUCGAGAAUUUUCAAAUACACACAGUUGAGGAGAUUGUUCUCGAUGAGCCAAAAGUUUAAAUAACAGGUCGUCGAGCUAAUGACGUUAAACAAAAGCGCUUUUUGGGAGGCAACCCAAAUUUAUUUUCAUUUAUUUUUAGUUUAAGUAAAUUAGGAUGUAAAUAAAUAAAUUCUUAUUAGUCAAAUUGAUGUUUUCAGGAAUACAGUGGAAGUGAUUAAUUUCAAAAAGACGAGUAAUGAAGGUGGCAUGGGCACGACUUGCUAAUGUGGUGAUAUUCCUAAAAAAAACCGAUCAUCCACUAAAAUUCCUACCCAAACCCAUUUACCACAUACCCAAACACCAAACCCAAUUUCCAUUUCCUUCAAACCCAAAUAAACCAUCCCAACUACCCACCCAACAGCCCAAUAUCCAUCAACCCAAACCCAAUUAAAUCAUCAACCCAAUACCCAUAUAAACCCAAUACCUAUGAUUGGCCCAAUAACCAACACCAUACCCAAUUACCUUGUAAUACCCCUAGCCGUAUUCAUUGCCGGAAUAGGGUACGAGGCAUUACCGGAGUUUACGAAUUAAAUUUUUUUUAUAUUCAAUAUAGCCCUUUUAUAAAUAUCUAACCUUCCCUGUAAUAUUAAAUCGAGACCAAUCCACAUCAACCAAAUCAAUUCAACAUAUUUUCAUGAUAGAUUCAUGCAUUUAUAUAAGAUAACGUCAUCACAUAUCUAUAACCAGGUUUGUUAACCAUACUAAUGGCUAACUUUACAUUCAUUUCACGUUAACAUUUACUUUGUUAGCUUAUACAUGCCAUUGAUUUCCAAAAUAAAGUUUCUUUAUAUACCGUAAUCCUGAGGUUGACAGUGUGAUGUGUCUCCGACCAAAUCCGACCUCCGAGCUCUUAACACUACAAAACAGGGAAAAAGGAAACGGGGUAAGCACUUUGUGCUUAGUAAGCUCAUGUAACAAGAAUUAUACUUACCUAAUAUUUUCAAUACAAUAUAAUAAACAUUCAUAUAUCCAUUCAAUGCAUUAUUACCCUAACAUGCACAAACUCAACAUUCAAGUUAGUACAAUAAUUUCCAUGUAUCAAUAAUAUAUAUAUACCAUGAUUGAUGUACUCAUCAAUACCAUGAUUUUCAUUCCCUUAUUAUUUUUCAUAUUUAUCCUAUUGAAUUUAUCGGAAUUUCGAUGGAUUUUCAGAGGUACACUUUUAGUGUACAAUUCCGGGUCCGUCAAUUCAUAUUCAUGUGCGCACAUUUCCAUUUCAGAGAGCACACUCCCGCGAACCUCAACCUUGCAGCGGGAUUACCAGUCCAGGCUAAAUCCCCUGCAAUAUAAACUCAUAGAGUAUUGUCGGGAUUACCAGUCCAGGCUAAAUCCCCUGAAAUGACAAUUACUCUAAUGAGCUUGGAUCUGAAUUACCAGUCCAGGCUAAAUUCAGACCCUAAUUCGGAUUACCCGUCCGGGCUAAAUCCAUUUUACACAUAUUCUUCGGGAGGGCUAUAUCAGGAUAGGAUCACCCGUCCGGGCUAGAUCCUUUUUACCGUCAAUUCCUUUUCAGAGAUCCAUCGAAUUUUCCUUUCAUUCAACCGGGAUUUCUUCCCAUUUUAUCAAAUAUAUCAAUGUUUCAUUAAUUUUCAUACAAUGAACAUUCAAAUCAUAUUCACAUCAAUAACAUACAAUCUCAAGCAUUUAAGAAUAUAAUUCAAGUUACACGAACUUACCUUGAUACUUGUUUGUAAACUGUAAAAAUCUAUUAAUCCCGAACUUUUUCCUUUCCUCGAUCUAGCUUCGUAUUUGAAUCUUCUGGAUUUAAAUAAAUAAAUUUAAUUAUCAAUUUAAUACAUUUCAUGUUCAUAUGCAACAUUCUCUAUAAUUCAACUAUUAUUUAUAGUUCAUUCAAAGCUGUCUACUUGAGUCAUAGUCACUAAAUUAUUUAUAACUUGAGCUACGGAACUCCAAAUUAAGAUCCGUUAAUUUUCCUUGAAACUAGACUCAUAUAUAUUUUUACCAUAAAAUUUUAAGAAUUUUUGGUUUAGCCAAUCAGUACAGUUUAUUCUUCAAAUUCACCCCUGUUCUGUUGUCUAACAGUUCUGACCCUUCUUCACUAAAAAUAAAUUAUCUCUUUAUACAGAAUUCAAAUGAUGUUUUUGUUUAUUUCUAUUAAAAAUAGACUCACUCAGAAUUCUAUACAUAUAAAUUUAAGUCCCUAAUUAUUUUUAUUCAAUUUUUUAUAAUUUUUCAAAGUCAGAAUAGGGGAACCCGAAUUCAUUCUGACCUUGUCUCACAAAAUUCAUUAUAUCUCAAAAUUUACAAAUCCAUUGCUUACAAUAUUUCUUCGAUGAGAAACUAGACUCAAUAAGCUUUAAUUCCAUAUUUUUUUAAUCUUCUAAUUCGAUUCCUAAAAUUUUUGGUGAUUUUUCAAAGUUAGUCUACUGCUGCUGUCCAAACUGUUUUAGUGCAAGCUGUUUAUUACCAUUUUUCCCCUAAGCUUUUAAUAAAUGAUAAUUUCGUCCCUACUCAAUUAGCCUCUCAAUUGAGCUGAUUUUUCUCAAUUAACAUUUUAUUCUAUCACCUUAAACUAGUUUACAACCUUUAGGAAUCAGAAUUUCAGCAAUAGACUUUAAUUCCAAACAUUUUCACAAUUAGGUCCCAAAAAUCAAUUUCCAUUGAAAUUGCCUAAUAAAAUCAUCUCAUAAACAAAUUAAAGCUUUAAUUUCAUUCUAUUUCAUCAUAAACUUACAGCACUCAACCAUGGUGACUUUCAAUUUCAUCCAUGAAAUCAAAAACUAAUGAAUUUAAUAGUAGGACCUAGUUGUAAAAGUCUUAGAAACACAAAAAUUACAAGAAAAAGGCAAGGAUUAACUCACUUGGUGCAAAAAUUAAGAAAUACCAGCUUAGAGAACCCUCCUAUGGCGUUUUUAGCUGCUGGAAUUGAAGAGAAAUGAAGAGAAAUCUAGAUAUUUCCUAUUUAGUCCUAGUUUUAUUUAGUUAAUUUUGUAAUAUUCCAAUUUUACCCUUAAUUUAUCAAUUUUUCUGAUUUCAUACCCUUGCCGUCCAGCCCAAAUAACUUUUGAGUCUAAUUGCCUUUUAAAUCCUUUCUCAUUAGACUAAUAAGCUAUUUAAUCACUCUAGCAACUUUUACACCUAUUACAAUUCAGUCAUUUUCAUUUAAUUGACUACCCAAACAUUAAAAUUUCCUAACGAAAUUUUAAUACCACAUUAAUAACAUUUCAUAAAUAUUUAUAAAAUUAUUUUUUACUCGGUUUUACGAGAUAGAGGUCCCGAUACCUUAUUUUACCCAAUUUCUUCAAUAAUUUCUUUUUCUAACUAAUCACUAAAUUGAUAAAAUUUUCCUAUCAAUAUUUUCAUACGAUUUUCCUAUUAUAUAAAUUUUCAAGCAAAAAUAUUGAAAUAAAUUUCUCUUUAAAUCGGAUAUGUGGUUACGAAACCACUGUUCCGAUAACAUUGAAUUUACGCCAUUACAACUCUCCCCCUUUUAAGGAUUUUCGUCCUCGAAAAUCUUACCAGUAAAGAGGUUUGGGUAUUGUUUCCUCAUUGCCUCCUCCGGUUCCCAUGUUGCUUCCUCAAUCCCGUGCUUUUGCCACAAUACUUUCACCAAAUUUAUCUUUUUAUUUCUAAGCUCUUUUGUCUCCCGUGCCAAUAUCUUGACCGGUUCUUCACUGUAAGUCAUAUCCGGUUGAAUCUGUACUUCUAUCGGAGAAAUAACAUGUGAAGGAUCUUAUCGAUAUCGUCGUAACAUAGAUACAUGAAAAACAUUAUGGAUUCUAUCAAGUUCCGGUGGUAAUGCCAAUCGAUAAGCGACCGGUCCAAUUCUUUCUAUGAUUUCAUAGGGCCCGAUAAAUCUUGGACUCAAUUUACCCUUUCGACCGAAUCGAAGAACUUUCUUCCAAGGAGACACUUUCAGAAAUACCUUGUCACCGACUUGAAAUUCAAUCUCUUUUCGCUUAAGGUCGGCAUAUGAUUUUUGACGAUCGGAAGCUGCUUUUAGACUUUCUCGAAUAACCUUUACUUUUUCUUCUGUUUCCCGGAUCAAAUCAACCCCAUGUAUCUUCCUUUCACUGAGCUCUGUCCAAUAUAACGGUGUUCUACAUUUUCUACCAUACAAAGCUUCAUACGGAGCCAUUUUAAUACUAGAUUGAUAACUGUUGUUUUAAGCAAAUUCAAUCAAAGGUAGAUACCUCUCCCAAUUACCUUCAAACUCUAGUAUACAACAUCGGAGCAUAUCUUCCAAUACUUGAAUUACACGCUCAGAUUGACCAUCUGUCUGAGGAUGAAAUGCAGUGCUGAAAUACAACUGAGUACCCAAGGCUUCUUGCAAUUUGUCCCAGAAACGAGACAUAAAUCGGGGAUCUCUAUCUGAUAUAAUGGAGACAGGCACUCCAUGUAACCUGACAAUCUCAGAUAUGUACAGUUCAGCUAGUUUAUCUAAAGAAUAAUCCAUACGUACUGGAAUAAAGUGAGCUGACUUUGUCAAUCGGUCUACAAUCACCCAAAUAGCAUCUUUUUUCCUCGGAGACAAAGGUAGCCUCGAUACAAAAUCCAUAGUGAUUCUUUCCCAUUUCCAUUCCGGUAUAGUAAUUGGCUGAAGUAACCCCGAAGGUACCUGAUGUUCAGCUUUAACUUGUUGACAUAUUAAACACCUUGAUACAAACGCAGAGAUAUCACGUUUCAUUCCCGACCACCAGUACAUUUUUUUCAGAUCAUUAUACAUUUUAUUACUCCCCGGAUGUACAGACAUAGUACUACUGUGGGCCUCGCGUAGAAUCUUCUGUAUGAGCUCUGAAUUCUGAGGUACACAUACCCUACCUCUGAAUAAUAAACAAUCAUCAGAACCAAUCUGAAACUCAGAAGCAUUACCUGACUCACACUGUGCCCGUUUAACCUGUAACUUCUCAUCAUUCUUCUGAGCUUCACAUAUUUGCUGUAAAAAUGUCGGUUUAGCUCUCAAUUUAGCUAGGAUUGAACCAUCAUCAGUCAAUGAUAACCGGGUAUUCAUAGCUCGUAAAGCAAAUAGAGAUUUCCGGCUCAAAGCAUCAGCUACAACAUUAGCCUUACCCGGAUGGUAAUCAAUAAUCAAAUCAUAGUCCUUUAUCAGUUCAAGCCACCUGCGCUGUCUCAAAUUCAAAUCUUUCUGUGUCAUCAAAUAUUUCAAGCUUUUAUGAUCAGUAUAAAUAUGACAUUUCUCACCGUACAAGUAAUGCCGCCAUAUCUUCAGCGUAAAUACAAUAGCAGCUAAUUCAAGAUCAUGUACUGGGUAAUUUCUUUCAUGUGGUUUAAGUUGUCUUGAAGCAUAGGCUAUUACUUUACCUUCUUGCAUCAAAACACAACCUAAACCAUUUAAUGAGGCAUCACUGUAAAUAACAAAUUCCUUACCCAGUUCAGGCUGCACUAAUACAGGUGUUUUCGUUAAUAGGUAUUUCAAUCGGUUGAAACUUUGUUGGCAUUCAUCAGUCCACUCGAAUUUUACAUCUUUCUGCAAUAAUCGAGUCAUUGGAGAAGCUAUCAUAGAGAAUCCCUGUACAAAUCUCCGAUAAUAACCAGCUAAGCCUAAGAAACUUCUAACUUCAGAUACAUUCUUCGGUGGACUCCAAUUGACAAUAGCUGAGAUUUUACUUGGAUCUACCCUGAUGCCUUCGGCAGAUACAAUGUGUCCAAGAAAACUCACUUCUCGAAGCCAAAAUUCACAUUUACUGAAUUUAGCAUACAACUGCUUCUCUCGUAGAAUUUGCAACACAAUUCACAAAUGUUCUGCAUGUUCUUCUUCAUCCCGAGAAUAAACCAAAAUAUCAUCAAUGAAUACUACUACAAAUCUAUCUAAGUACGGUCUAAAUAUCUGGUUCAUCAAAUCCAUGAAUACUGCAGGUGCAUUAGUUAGCUCAAACGGCAUAACUAGAAACUCAUAAUGCCCGUACCUGGUUCUAAAGGCUAUUUUUGGCAUAUCUGACUCCUUUACCCGUAACUGAUAAUAACCUGAUCGAAGAUCAAUCUUUAAAAACAUAGUAGCACCUUUCAGCUGAUCAAAUAAAUCAUCAAUCCGGGGUAACGGGUACUUAUUCUUUAUGGUUACUUUAUUAAGCUGCCGGUAGUCGAUACACAAUCUGAAAGACCCAUCUUUCUUUUUCACAAACAGAACCGGAGCACCCCAAGGUGAAUGACUCGGUCGAACAAAACCCCUGUUAACAAGCUCUUGCAAUUGUGUCUUUAACUCUUUUAAUUCUAUAGGAGCCAUCCGGUACGGAGCUAUGGAGAUCGGAGUAGUUCCCAGAAUCAAAUCUAUAGAAAAUUCCACUUCUCUUUCUGGUGGCAAUCCUGGUAAUUCUUCUGGAAACACAUCAGAAAAUUCACAUACCAUUGGAACUGCCUGUAUCUUUGACUCAAAUACCUUGGUGUCGAGUACAUAAGCCAAGUAAGCAUCAUACCCCUUUUUGACAUACCUCUGUUCUGCCAUUACUGAAAUCAUAUCAGAUAACCCCUCUGUCUGAUCAGAUUUAACCCGGAGCAACUCACCAUUCUGACAUUUUAACACAAUAUAUUUUUGUUUACAAUUUACUACCGUAUCAUGCUGGGUUAACCAAUCCAUACCCAAUAUCACGUCAAAUUUAUCAAAUGGCAGUAACAUCAAAUCAGCCGGGAAACAAUAACCUCUUACCAUCAGUGGACAAUUUUUACAAAUUUUAUCCACUAACACAGACUGGCCCAGGGGGUUCGAGACUUUAACCACAAAUUCAGUAGGUUCAACAGAUAAAUUUUUAACAAUUGCAAGUUUAACACAUAUAUAUGAAUGCGUAGAACCAGGAUCAAUCAAUGCAGUAAUAUCAGUAUCAAGUAAAGAAAAUGUACCAGUAAUAACAUCGGGUGCUGAAGCAUCUUCUCUGGCACGAAUGGCAUAUGUCCUAGCAGGUGCUCGUACUUCAGGCCUACCUAUAGUAUCUUUUGUAGCUCCUCGACUACCACUGACAUUACCGGAUGGUCGAGGUGGUCUGCCCCUCGAAACUAGAUUACUCGACUUCGAUAUAUGUUCAACUUCUUUUUCAACCCUUUCUGGACAAUCUCUGAGGAAAUGGUCAAAAGAACCACAUCGGUAACAAGCCCCACUCUUAAAUCGGCAUUCACCAAAAUGAGCUUUAUUACAGUACUGGCAUCUCGGUUUAGGAGUGCCAACACUGCCAACACUGGUCACUGAUGGAGUAGAAGGCCUUGGAUUAGUGCGUUGAGAACCUCGUUCUUUGCCCGAAUACCCAAUGGCUGAAGUAGAACGAUCCUGAUAUUUCUUCAAUUUCUUUGAAGCAGAAAACUGAGAUUUUCCCAUCGGUCUUUUACUAAAAAUUUGAGCUUCCCUCUCAGCCUGUUUCUUUUCUUUGCUCAAUUCUUCUGCUUUAUAAGCUCUCUCUGCCAAUGUAGCAAACUCUCGAAUUUCAAGAAUUCCGAUCAGUAACUUAAUGUCUUCAUUCAACCCUUCUUCGAAUCGUUUACACAUUUCAACUUCUGACUGUACCCAUUCUCGAGCAUAUUUACUCAAUCGAACAAAUUCUCUUUCAUAUUUAGAUACUGAUCUAUUGCCCUGUUUCAGCUCAAGAAAUUCUUUUCUUUUCUGGUCAAGGAACCUCUGGCUGAUAUAUUUUUUUCUAAACUCGGUCUGAAAGAAUUCCCAUGUAAUUUCUUCUUUCGGAACAACUGAAGCUUUAGUAUUCCACCAAUGGUAAGCUGUAUCUUUUAGCAGUGAGACGGCACAUUUUAGACAUUCUUCUGGUAUACAAGAUAAUUCUUCCAGAACCCGAGUAGUAUUUUCUAACCAGAAUUCAGCCCAUUCGGAAUCAUCAUCAACUGCUACUCGAAAUUCUUCGGCCCCAUAUUUUCGAAUUUUAUCUACUGGAGCUUCCCCUUUUCUGACAGAUUCAGUACCUGUACCUUGUGGGAUCUCGGGAACCGGUGAAGGAGCAGGAGGGGGAGCUUGAACUUGCUGCACUACAGGGUUAGUUCUUAAGUAUUGAUUAAACCAUUCAUUCAUCAUUUGAAAGAAGGCUAUUUUUGCCUCCUCCCCUCGACCCUCUGUCUCGGGCCUUCUACUGCUAGUUUCUUCUCUUUGUACUGAAGCCGGAGCAUGACUCCCAGCUUCCUCAGAUUAAGCUCGGUCGGAUGACAUUACUAUAAGAAAAACACAUUUUAAAUGGUCAGGAGAUAUCACACUAUCAAUAAUAAUUUAAAUGGCAUGUAUAGCUAAUCCCGUAUUUGCUACAUCGAUCCUAGAACCGGCUAAAUCGUAGCUCUGAUACCAAUAAAUGUAAUACCCCUACCCGUAUUCAUUGCCGGAAUAGGGUACGAGGCAUUACCGGAGUUUACGAAUUAAUUUUUUUUUAUAUUCAAUAUAGCCCUUUUAUAAAUAUCUAACCUUCCCUGUAAUAUUAAAUCGAGACCAAUCCACAUCAACCAAAUCAAUUCAACAUAUUUUCAUGAUAGAUUCAUGCAUUUAUAUAAGAUAACGUCAUCACAUAUCUAUAACCAGGUUUGUUAACCAUACUAAUGGCUAACUUUACAUUCAUUUCACGUUAACAUUUACUUUGUUAGCUUAUACAUGCCAUUGAUUUCCAAAAUAAAGUUUCUUUAUAUACCGAAAUCCUGAGGUUGACAGUGUGAUGUGUCUCCGACCAAAUCCGACCUCCGAGCUCUUAACACUACAAAAUAGGGAAAAAGGAAACGGGGUAAGCACUUUGUGCUUAGUAAGCUCAUGUAACAAGAAUUAUACUUACCUAAUAUUUUCAAUACAAUAUAAUAAACAUUCAUAUAUCCAUUCAAUGCAUUAUUACCCUAACAUGCACAAACUCAACAUUCAAGUUAGUACAAUAAUUUCCAUGUAUCAAUAAUAUAUAUACCAUGAUUGAUGUACUCAUCAAUACCAUGAUUUUCAUUCCCUUAUUAUUUUUCAUAUUUAUCCCAUUGAAUUUAUCGGAAUUUCGAUGGAUUUUCAGAGGUACACUUUUAGUGUACAAUUCCGGGUCCGUCAAUUCAUAUUCAUGUGCGCACAUUUCCAUUUCAGAGAGCACACUCCCGCGAACCUCAACCUUGCAGCGGGAUUACCAGUCCAGGCUAAAUCCCCUGCAAUAUAAACUCAUAGAGUAUUGUCGGGAUUACCAGUCCAGGCUAAAUCCCCUGCAACGACAAUUACUCUAAUGAGCUUGGAUCUGAAUUACCAGUCCAAGCUAAAUUCAGACCCUAAUUCGGAUUACCCGUCCGGGCUAAAUCCAUUUUACACAUAUUCUUCAGGAGGGCUAUAUCAGGAUAGGAUCACCCGUCCGGGCUAGAUCCUUUUUACCGUCAAUUCCUUUUCAGAGAUCCAUCGAAUUUUCCUUUCAUUCAACCGGAAUUUCUUCCCAUUUUAUCAAAUAUAUCAAUGUUUCAUUAAUUUUCAUACAAUGAACAUUCAAAUCAUAUUCACAUCAAUAACAUACAAUCUCAAGCAUUUAAGAAUAUAAUUCAAGUUACACGAACUUACCUUAAUACUUGUUUGUAAACAGUAAAAAUCUAUUAAUCCCGAACUUUUUCCUUUCCUCAAUCUAGCUUCGUAUUUGAAUCUUCUGGAUUUAAAUAAAUAAAUUUAAUUAUUAAUUUAAUACAUUUCAUGUUCAUAUGCAACAUUCUCUAUAAUUCAACUAUUAUUUAUAGUUCAUUCAAAGCUAUCUACUUGAGUCAUAGUCACUAAAUUAUUUAUAACUUGAGCUACGGAACUCCAAAUUAAGAUCUGUUAAUUUUCCCUGAAACUAUACUCAUAUAUAUUUUUACCAUAAAAUUUUAAGAAUUUUUGGUUUAGCCAAUCAGUACAGUUUAUUCUUCAAAGUCACCCCUGUUCUGUUGUCUAAUAGUUCUGGUCCUUCUUCACUAAAAAUAAAUUAUCUCUUUAUACAGAAUUCAAAUGAUGUUCUUGUUUGUUUCUAUUAAAAAUAGACUCACUCAUAAUUCUAUACAUAUAAAUUUAAGUCCCUAAUUAUUUUUAUUCAAUUUUUUAUAAUUUUUCAAAGUCAGAACAGGGGAACCCGAAUUCAUUCUGACCUUGUCUCACAAAAUUCAUUAUAUCUCAAAAUUUACAAAUUCAUUGCUUACAAUAUUUCUUCUAUGAGAAACUAGACUCAAUAAGCUUUAAUUCCAUAUUUUGUUAAUCUUCUAAUUCGAUUCCUACAAUUUUUGGUGAUUUUUAAAAGUUAAUCUACUGCUGCUGUCCAAACUGUUUUAGUGCAAGCUGUUUAUUACCAUUUUUCCCCUAAGCUUUUAAUAAAUGAUAAUUUCGUCCCUACUCAAUUAGCCUCUCAAUUGAGCUGAUUUUUCUCAAUUAACAUUUUAUUCUAUCACCUUAAACUAGUUUACAACCUUUAGAAAUCAGAAUUUCAGCAAUAGACUUUAAUUCCAAACAUUUUCACAAUUAGGUCCCAAAAAUCAAUUUCCAUUGAAAUUGCCUAAUAAAAUCAUCUCAUAAACAAAUUAAAGCUUUAAUUUCAUUCUAUUUCAUCAUAAACUUACAGCACUCAACCAUGGUGACUUUCAAUUUCAUCCAUGAAAUCAAAAACUAAUGAAUUUAAUAGUAGGACCUAGUUGUAAAAGUCUUAGAAACACAAAAAUUACAAGAAAAAGGCAAGGAUUAACUCACUUGGUGCAAAAAUUAUGAAAUACCAGCUUAGAGAACCCUCCUAUGGCGUUUUUAGCUGCUGGAAUUGAAGAGAAAUGAAGAGAAAUCUAGAUAUUUCCUAUUUAGUCCUAGUUUUAUUUAGUUAAUUUUGCAAUAUUCCAAUUUUACCCUUAAUUUAUCAAUUUUUCUGCUGAUUUCAUACCCUUGCCGUCCAGCCCAAAUAACUUUUGAGUCUAAUUGCCUUUUAAAUCCUUUCUCAUUAGACUAAUAAGCUAUUUAAUCACUCUAGCAACUUUUACACCUAUUACAAUUCAGUCCUUUUCAUUUAAUUGACUACCCAAACAUUAAAAUUUCCUAACGAAAUUUUAAUACCACAUUAAUAACAUUUCAUAAAUAUUUAUAAAAUUAUUUUUUACUCGGUUUUACGAGAUAGAGGUCCCGAUACCUUAUUUUACCUAAUUUCUUCAAUAAUUUCUUUUUCUAACUAAUCACUAAAUUGAUAAAAUUUUCCUAUCAAUAUUUUCAUACGAUUUUCCUAUUAUAUAAAUUUUCAAGCAAAAAUAUUGAAAUAAAUUUCUCUUUAAAUCGGAUUUGUGGUUACGAAACCACUGUUCCGAUAACAUUGAAUUUACGCCAUUACAACUCUCCCCCCUUUCUAAAAUAACCCAAUUAAAAAAAUAACAAAAAUAAAAAUUUAAACACCCAAAAUCCCUAAUUUCCCAAAAUUUUCUCAUCUUCUUCAUCUUCACUCAAACAAAACCCAACCCCAAUCACCCUAGCCACCGUCGACCACCGCCAUCACUCCUUUCGCCAACCAAUCAUCACCAUCGUAGCACCUCUCCACACCCCACCUCGUGCCGCGCCACCGUCGACCUCGUUCCGCACCACCGUCGACCGCGCGCCCACGCCACCUCCACUUUCUUUUCUUUUCUUUUCCUCUCCAACUUACCCACGUCAUCCAACGCCUUUUCCACCGUCAAACCAUAGCCGAACAAGUCCUCAACGACCACGUCGCACUAUCGUCGCCGACCAGAACCCCCACUGCCGUGCACCGCCGCACAUUGCCCCCUAACCCCUAUUUUUAUUCUUCUUGUUAUUAUUUUUCUUUUUCUUCUCUUUGAAACACCCAACCCAUCACCAAUCAUCAAAACCGACACCCCCAUCAUCACCAUCUAAAAAAUCAGCCAAAAACGCACCACCCAUCCUCACCGCCACCGUCGCCGCCGUCCCCACUGUCGUGCGCCGCCGCAACUCGUCACCACCGUAACCUUCUGAAAUGUCAAUUUUGGACGCUACGACCGAGACCAUGGUUCGCGCUCGCAACCAAACGGCUGAUAACAUACCGACUUCACUCAACCGAAAUCAGCACCAAUUCUCCGCGCCUCCUGUCAUUGAGUUAGCCGACGACGACACUCCUCCACCUCCUCCGAGACGAACGGUUGCCCAACCAAGAGCCCACCGACGACGAAGUCUAACCCCGGCCGACACAAGCACUUCGGGCAGUCCAGAGGAAGUCGAAACUUCUAACUCCAUGUCGAGCCUACACCCACUGUUGUUGAACAAGUCUCUCAACGCCCAACCCGAAGUCAUCGACGGUCGACACGUGAGCCAUCGACGCCCCUGCACAGCAGUACUGAAGCUGCUGAACGAAAUUCCCCACCCGACUCGCCUAACGAGCACGUUCGACCACCCUGAGCAAAUCAACGCAACAGACGUAGUUGAGCAAAUGUUAUUCUUACUGAUAGUCGUUUGCAAGGAUUUCUAGAGUUUUCGACAUCGGAACAGCAAACACGAUACAACACCAUCCGACAACGCUCGCUUCCGGUCUGUAAGCAAAUCGAUUUCCCUACUCUUGAACUUCUAGAUAUUCAUGAUGCAGUGCUCCAUUAUUUUGAUGCUAUUGGUUGGACUCUAUUUGCUAAUAUUACUUGUGAUGCAUAUUAUGAAUUAGUAUAUGAGUUUUAUACCACAUUUAGCUUCAAUAUAAAUGCAUUGCAAACUGUUGAAACACAAAAUAUAGUGUGCUUUCAUUUGCUUGGAAAAGACUUUCGGAUGUCUGUUUCAAAAUUUAACAUUGCCAUGGGUUUCAUCGACGCUAAUGACAUUCAAUCUGAUGCCUAUCAUUCUGCUCUUUUAGAUGUUCCCAAUGACUUCGAUGCUCAGCAUGUUUAUCGGGUUUUAACUAAUUCUGACCAAUUUUAUAAUCCAAAGACUACAAAAGAUUUAUGGGUGCAUGAGCCUGUUUUAAAAUACAUACACCGAUUUUUAGCAUUUUGUUUUUCAGGUAGAAAUGACGCAUCAGCUGCUUUGACUAAGACUGAACUGUUCUUUUUGUGGUGCAUGCAUUCGGGUAUUAAAGUUAAUUUAGGAUAUUGGUUUGCACGAAAUUUUCAUGCCGUUUUGAGUUACAACUGUCCACUUAUACUUGGAUCAUUCAUUUCAAAUUUAGCCUCUCGACUUUUUGAGUCUAAAAUUGAUUUCGCAACCUUCACAUGUGCAUAUCGUAUGGACCACCUAGAUAAACAUUGUUUGGAUUCUAUGGGAUUGCUUGCCGGCACCCCUACUCCGUGUUAUUUCGUUCCUCCAGGUACACGGGCUGCUCGGGAAAAUAGAGUUUUUCACAAACAUCCGCACACUAAUACGAGAGAGCAAGAGGAUCACCCUUUGACUGUGGAAGCCCGUUUAAGUCGAAUCGAAGCUAGACUUGAAACAAUGGAAACACAAGUCGCCACCAUCCUCAAUAUCCUGCAAAGUCGCGACGCUCAACACCAAUGAUUUCAUUAAAAUACACGGGGAGUGUUCUAAACUUUUUCAUUUUUAAUUUAUUUUGAGCUGCUGACUUUAUUUUGCAUGCUUGAGGACAAGCAUAGUUUAAGUGGGGGGUUGGAUUGAUAUGUUAAUUUUUGCUUCAUGUCUUUCUCUUUUGCAUGUGAAUCUUACGAUGAAUUCUUUCGAUAAUUUAUUCAACAUUUGAGCCUUAAAACCUCAUACUUAAUCGAUUUAAGCAAUUGGGCAAAUUUUGAAUUAAAUGUUUAAGUAUAUAGAUUGGUCGACAUUUAGGUUUUAAAAUUGGUAUAUGUAGCUAGAGUUUUUUCGCAUGAAUUGAUUGAUUGAAUAAAAUAUGUUUGCUUGUGCAUAAAUAAAUUAAUAAAGGUUCAGGCUAUGAAUAAAGGUUCGAAAACGUGACUGAAUUGAGUAACCGGGGCAGGUUGCUUGGGUUGUCAUCUUGUCUCGCGUAAAAAGGUUCGAGUGACAAGUCGAUAACUUACAAACAUUCGGCUAGCUGAACACCCCAUAAAAUUAAAAAAAAAAAAGAAAAAAAAGAAAAAAUAAUACAUAAUAAAUAAAGACUGUUUGAACUGAGUAACCGGGAUAGGGUGCUUGGGUUGUCAUCCUAGUUCGCGUAAAAAGGUUUGAUAUUGUCUAUUAAUUUUCUGAUGCAUAGUUAAUUAAUAAUGCCAUGCAAAUUAUGGGAUUCAAUCUCAAUUUAGCGAAAUUGUUUAGUUGACAUAUUUCAAUUUUAUGACACUUGUUGAUUAAAAUGUAUAUUUUGAACAUUUAUUUCUUUUUGCCUAUGUUGUUUGCAUUGAUUAAGGAUAUGGAAUAGGGGCUCGAUUUUUAAUAAAUUGUGGAAUUGUUUCUAAUGUUUGAAAGAACAACAUGCUUGAGGGCAAGCAUGAGCUAAGUAGGGGGGAUUUGAUAAACAUGUCAAAUUGCAUAUUUUUUGUGCCUAAUUUGGUUUAUUGAUGAACUGAAUCCUGCUAAUUAAGUGUUUUUAUGAUUUAAUUCUUGUCAGGGAUGCAAUUGAUCAAAAGCAAGCUGAAAAGGGGCCAAAUUAGAAGAAAAUUAUUAGAAUGGGUCAAAGCGAAAAGAUGGAGGAAGCCAAGGACUAGUCAUAAAUUUGACUUUGUAAAAAGCCAAAAAUAGGAAAUUCUAUUUUAAGUUUAUUUAUUUUUAAUUAUUAUUAUUUUAGAUUUUAUAUUAAUUUUCUUAAGCUAUUUUUAGUAAACCCUAUCUAUAUAAAUAGGGGGUUUUAGUUCUUAGGAAAUCAUCCAUUAAUCAAUUGUCUUUACAUUCCUAUUUUAUUUUGGAAUUUCAUUAUCCACUUUGUUUUCUUUUUCUUAAUUCAAUUGAGCAUUAGAUUAUUUUGUCUUCUUUUUACAAAAUUUGUCUAAUUCUCUUUGCAAUUUUUCCUAUCCAUUUCCACUACCUUUUUUAUAUAAUUUCUAUCAUUUCCAUAACCUUCAAGCAUGAUUAAAUUCAUGCCACACUAAACCCCUUUCAGCUUUAAGUCUGUAUUAACCCCGUCAAAAUACCCGUGAGUUACGAACCCGAGCUGUUUAACUCCCAACUUUCGAUAUUUAUUAUUUCUCCGGAUUAAGAGUAUGACUUUGUCAACUCACAAAGUCAAGUCAAUACUAAGUCAAAAAAGACGUCGUUUGAGUUAGUGUGGCUAGACGUACAGUUGGAAUUCCGAAAGGAUCGAUUGUCUAAUUGGUCUUCCGUGAACACAUUGGCGUGCCAAGUGGGGAUUGUUGUUUGGUUCCGUCAAGGGAAGUAGUAACUGGAUUUAAAUGUCUCAAUGUUUGAGGGCAUUGGUUCGAGCUAGGCUCUUCUAGAACACAAAACUGCCGGAGUUCUAAAUCACGAACGUUUCGUAGGUUGUUCGAUCGGUAAGGGUUAGUUAUAGGACGUUCCAUAACUAAUUUACACAAGGAAGAGUUGGUGUCCGAGGCGUCCUUGGUAGCUAUAACUAGCUUAUCGAAAAAGAGUUCACCUAAUUUUGAGGAACGGGUCGAAGACGGGAAAACCCGUGCUUAAGGCUGAGCUAAGGUUUAUUGAUUUUUCUUUAAAUUAUUUUGUUAUUUAUUUUUAUUUCAUCUUUUUAUUUUUAUUUCAUCUUUUACUUUUUACUUUUUACGUUUUCUUGUGUUUAUUUCAGGUUUCAUAUUUUAUUUCCCCCCUAAACGUCGCGGGCACGACAACUGUCCAGACACUAAUCUGGUCAAGAAACAAACAAUUUUAAGUAAUUCCAGUCUCUGUGGGAUCGACCCUACUCCCUAUACUGCUUUAAUUUGCAAACUAGGUGUAGGUUUAUAUUGGUGGAAUCGACAACCAUCAAUGUUAGAUAUAGUGAUGCAAGUAAAAAAAAGAUAAUAAUUAUAGUAAAUUAGUAGUAGUGUAAAAUAAUAAAUAAUAAUAGUUUAGUAUAAAAAUAGUGACCAAUAAGAACAAUGGUAUAUAUAAAAAUAAAUAAAUAAAAAUAUCAUAAUAGGUCUAUUGAUAAUUAUAUUUGAAAAAAAAACUUUAGUGAAAAACAAAUAUAAAAAGUUAUAAAUAAUAAUAAUAAAGUAGUAGUAGUAAAUAGUAAAAAUAAAUAAAGUAUAACAAGCAAAAUAUAGUAAGAAUAACAAUCUAUAUUUAAAAUUAUUAACCUUUAAUAAUAUAUAUACAUAUAUAUAAAUAUAUAAAUGUUUAAGAUAAAGAGUACAAAAAAUGAUUUUUUAAAAAAAAUUAAUAUAACAGAUAAUAUAAUAAAUAUAAUAAAAAUUUAUACAUAAAAUAAUUAGUUUUACUUUUAAAAUAUACAUAUAUAAUAAGCAUAUAACAAAUAUGUAAAUAAGUAAAUAAUAUAAUAAUGUGAAACAACUCAAAUUGAUUAAGUUAAAUAAAAAUGAUAUAAAACAAAAUUUUAAAAUAAUAAUAAUAAUAAUAUAAUAAGUAUAAUAGGUAAUAGUAUAAAAACAGUAUAAUAAAUAGUGGGAUAGAAAAAACUAAAAAACCAGUAGGAUAUAAUAGAAUAAAAAUAAUAAAUAUUACAAACAAAAAACAAUUAAUUUUAUGUUAAAAGUAUUUAAAUAAUCAAAAUGGGGCUUAAUUGAAAUUAAAAUGGGAGUUUUUAGCCAAAAUCGGAAUUAAAAAAGGUUAGGGGGACCACGUUGGACGCGCAUGUGAACUAGGGGGACCAAAAAUGGAAAAUUUUCUUUUGCCCAAUGUACAGCAUUUAAUACAGGACUAAAAUGAAGAGGCGCGCAAAUAUUUGGGGCCAAUUUUUUUUUAAAAAAAAAAGUAGCAUAAAAGGACCCAAUCUAGUGGCCACACGCAAACGAGGGACUAGGUGCGCCAUAAGCCCAAAAAAAAUUAAACGGUCCACUCUCUUUGUAAUUAAAACAAAAAAAGUUGGCUGUCUGCCACUAACACUAAAAUUAAAGAAACCCCCCAUUUCUUUAAUCCCAUUCUGCCGAAUUCAAAAAAGAAAACCAAGGGGUUCGGCCCCCUUUCUCCUUCUGCUAGGGCGCAGCGCCCAUCGUCGCAGCGCUUCUCCUCCCCUGCGCGCUCAUCGGCGACCGUCGGAAACCAGGUAAGGCCUUCCUAAAAUCUUUUUAUUUUUUAAACUCUGUUUUUCAAAAAUACAAGAUAGAUCCACAAAAAGCUCUAAAGAUUAAAAAACUAAAAGAAAAGAUUGUAACCACCUGAUUCUAUUCGAAUGUAUGAAAGCUUUUACUCAAAACUUGCUGUUUUCGUAUAUUUCUCUCUGAUUUUUGUAGUAAAAAAAAAACCGAUCGCUUUACAUUGUUUAGAAUGGCUUUUAUAGCAUAGAAAAGCAAAUAAAAUCUUCUAUUGGUUGCUAUCUGUUUGGUUCCUGUUACAGGUGUUGUUGCGGAUAUCUCGGAGGCACGAGGCGUGACAAAGAGGGACUGCUGGUAGCGCACGUCUCGGAGGUGCGGUGGAUGGUGGAGUGGGACGCUGGUGAGAGGCGUGCGACGCGAGGGCUAAAGCAACAGCAUUAGGUUUCUGUUUGUUUGGGCCUUGUUUGGGUUUAUUUUUGGGCCUGUGUUUUAGAUGUAAAUGGGUCUUGGGUUUGGGAGCUUUGGGCCCGGGCAUAAAUUUGGUCCUUCAACCCUUUUUUGUAAGAGUUUGAAUUCAGCACACCAACUUCAUUCUUGAUAAGAAAAUCUCAAAUUUAUAGUAUUUUAUCUGAUAAUUAGCUAAAAAUAAAUAUAUUAAAAAUACGAAUUUAUCUUGGGCUUAAUUGUUUUUUUUGAAAAAGUUUAAGGGUUUUUUUAUACAUUUUAAAAGUUCAAGUACCCACUUGAGUGUAAAAAAAAAAAGCAGG
rnacentral:lncRNA from 1 species